rnacentral:misc_RNA from 1 species
UCCGAGUUGACCCCGGCAGUCUCCUACGAGUCCCCGGCAUAACCCGCUGGCAACUAAUGACAAGGGUUGCGCUCGUUGCGGGACUUAACCCAACAUCUCACGACACGAGCUGACGACAGCCAUGCAACACCUGUGUCCAGGUUCCCUUUCGGGCACCGCUGCAUUUCUGCAGCGUUCCUGGCAUGUCAAGGGUAGGUAAGGUUUUUCGCGUUGCAUCGAAUUAAACCACAUCAUCCACCGCUUGUGCGGGCCCCCGUCAAUUCCUUCGAGUUUUAGCCUUGCGGCCGUACUCCCCAGGCGGGGCACUUAAUGCGUUAGCUACGGCACGGAUCCCGUUGGUUGAGACCCACACCUAGUGCCCAACGUUUACGGCGUGGACUAC